CAGCCGCCGCGGGAAUACGUAGGUGGCAAGCGUUGUCCGGAAUUAUUGGGCGUAAAGCGCGCGCAGGUGGUUUAAUAAGUCUGAUGUGAAAGCCCACGGCUCAACCGUGGAGGGUCAUUGGAAACUGUUAAACUUGAGUGCAGGAGAGAAAAGUGGAAUUCCUAGUGUAGCGGUGAAAUGCGUAGAGAUGUGGAGGAACACCAGUGGCGAAGGCGACUCUCUGGUCUGUAACUGACGCUGAGGAGCGAAAGCGUGGGGAGCGAACAGGAUUAGAUACCCCGGUAGUCCCUGUCUCUUAUAC
rnacentral:rRNA from 1 species